CUUUGACCACAACUCAUCCUCUCUUUUACAACAGGGCUGCUAAUAGUUCAGCCUCCAUUUGAAGAAGUCUUUCACCUCUCUAGACCCAGAUACUGUUCUAGUUCCGCCUACUCAGGGAGUGUCACCAAGUCCUGUCACCUGACCCACCCCUACCCAAUGGUCUCCUAAUGUUUUCAACUCACUGCCUUGGCUUUCUAUACUUUAUUUUUACUUUCACUUUAUGUAGAACACAGAAUCUACCCCAACUCGAGCAGACCUCCCCUAGGUGUCAAGGGCCUAAUUAAGAAUGGAGUAGGAGAAUCGCUGAAAGCUGAGAGAGGGAAAGUGAGACAUUCUGUUCCCUUCCCAUAAUCUUUCAAGUUGUUCAAUUUCUUAUCACCUAACAACUUUUCCAGUGAGGAAGAGACUAUUGCAAUGGAUGCCCAGAUGGCAAGUGUGUUGAGGAAUAUCAUUGGCAUGUGGACAGUAACAUGGUUAUUCUCUACAACUUGGUUACUCACCCAGAGAGAACGUCUUCAGAAAAAGAACUUUUGGUGGCACCUGUAUGGGAUCCUGACAGGGACUUUUCCAUUGGAAAUAGGUGUUUGUAUUUGUUAUUUGUGGACCCGGCACAGUUGCCCAGGGUUUAUUCUCGAUGAGGACUGGAAGAACUGGCUUGUCUGGAGUGUCGUGUUGAUCUUCUUCAUAUUCUUAAUUGUGAUAGCUAUGGAACUUGAAUAUGGAUUUUUUAUCUUUUUUGUCAUGAUGCUGUUUUCAAUGAAUUUAGGUGAUAUUGAGAGCAUCAUCUUUCUGCUGCCUCUACUAAGGAUGAUUUUAACUAUCAUUUUUGAAAUUUUUGUUUAAAGUUUUGAGUUCCAAAUUCUAUCUCUCCCUCACUCUCCCUUCCCCCCUUCCUUCUUCCCUGAGACUGUAAGCAAUCAAAUAUAAGUUAUACACGGACAAUUAUGUAAAAUGUUUCUAUAUUAGUCAUUUUGUACAAGAAAGCUAGAGUAAAAGAAAAAAAUGAAAUAAAAGUUACUUGCUUCAGUCUAC
rnacentral:lncRNA from 1 species